AUUGCCGUCUGGAGGUUCGUAGUAAUAACGCUGGACGCGAACAGAACAGGUAAGAGGCGAGAAUGUCCAUUGCGUUGUUUGGUUGUCAAGAAGUUUUUCUUAUUGCAUUCCGGUGAACCAGUUCCAUCAAUCCUUGUGAGAUUGUCGACGUUGACAGUGUUAGUGGCACAUCAACUGUGGUUAAUAGAUGCAGUAGUGGAAGAGCUCGUUACCUCUAGCACCAACAGCCAACGGAAUGACAUCCAAGGCAAAGAUAGCAAAACUUCGUGCUCUGGUGGAAGCAGGCGACGCCGAAGGGCUGCAGACCGCCCUCGGC
rnacentral:lncRNA from 1 species